UGUGCCUAAUACAUGCAAGUCGAGCGCACUGGCCCAACUGAUAUGACGUGCUUGCACUGAUUUGAYGAUGGAUCACCAGUGAGCGGCGGACGGGUGAGUAACACGUGGGCAACCUGCCCUGGAGCGGGGGAUAACAUUUGGAAACAGAUGCUAAUACCGCAUAAYAAUCAAAACCACAUGGUUUUGAUUUCAAAGAUGGUUUCGGCUAUCACUCCAGGAUGGGCCCGCGGUGCAUUAGCUAGUUGGUAAGGUAACGGCUUACCAAGGCGAUGAUGCAUAGCCGAGUUGAGAGACUGAUCGGCCACAAUGGAACUGAGACACGGUCCAUACUCCUACGGGAGGCAGCAGUAGGGAAUCUUCCACAAUGGGCGCAAGCCUGAUGGAGCAACACCGCGUGAGUGAAGAAGGGUUUCGGCUCGUAAAACUCUGUUGUUGAAGAAGAACGUGCGUGAGAGUAACUGUUCACGCAGUGACGGUAUUCAACCAGAAAGUCACGGCUAACUACGUGCCAGCAGCC
rnacentral:rRNA from 2 species